GUGAAGAAGUCAUUUAGCAGGAACGUUUUGUUUGCUAUCGACCUAGCAUUUAGCAAAGCCAUGCAAAGUUUUCGCUCUGGGCUUGCCGAAGGUAUAGUGCGUCUCAGCUGACGAAGAUGUGCGUGUUGAACGCCGCGCGGGCCGGGAGCAGUCAGUCGGGCAGGAGGAGCUGCCAGCGGGCCCAGAAGAGGCCGCAGCUCCGGAAAAACAGGGCGAAUCCACCGAUCCCUCACAUGGCGUGCAGCGGGAGGGCCAUGGCAUCCGAGGCGUGGAUAAGUCCCAGAAGAAGCCGUAUGCCUUAAGAUGGACCAGUGCACCACCAGGCUUUCCCCAUCGUCUAAAGCGCUUUCGGUGAGGCAGGAUGCAGGGCAACCGGCGCAGGACCUCAAGGACCCACAGGUGCGACAGGAUUGGCUCCAGCUGGGCUUCCAUUGCAUAUCUAAUGCAAUCAGACACCCCUGAUUUUGUCCUUGGAUGGCUUUCCGAAAAACUCAGAUGCCAAUCAAGUGGUUUUAUCAGUUGGGUCCAUGUGUGUCAUCAUAUGAUUUCCCCCUUAAAUGAUAACUCAUGUAUGAGGUACUGUAUGUCUGUGAUUAUAUGUUUGUAUACUAGUCUAUACAGUAGGUGUGGAUGUGUAUGUCAGAGGGACUAACAAGUCAAGCCACUUGAAUAUUCUCUCUGUUGUGUUUGGUCCCCAUGUGACUACAUUUAUGCAAAUACAGCCUUUUUAUAUAAACUCUGACGAUAAUGUAUGGAGAUUCGGCACAGCACCAUUUUGAAAGCACUUUGAAUGUGGGUCUCCCCAAGGGUUCUAGAAUUUAUCCGUGUGUACAUGUGUGUUUGUUCGUGCUUGCAUAUCCCUACGUGUGUGUGUGUCCUGUGUUUGUAGCGCGCUGAGCCCAGGGACAUCAGCAAUGCCACCACUGUCCCAGUUUCUUGCAUCCCUCUUAAAAAACAUGUUGAUUCAGACAAACCUCCUUUUCCUCCUCUGCUCCUCUCAUCCCCUCACUCCUCUUGGGAUGAACUGGAGGAGACGUACAACCACAGCAGACGUUCAUCAACCACAGCCAGGGUGUUUGAUUUUUACACUUUCUUCCAGUUCUUUCACUUUAUUUUAUUAUUCCAAAUCAUAUUUUCCCCCAGCUGACUUCCAUGUGAAACGACAAGGAAGCUAGUCAAUAGGAUACAGCAGGAGCAUGCCUGUUGGUCGUUAUUUUAACUAGUCAAUUGUACUGCGAAUUGCACUCCCGAGAGAUGUCGCAAAUGCAACAACAAAUGGUGGUAGAAGCAAGCCGGGGGACUUUUUGAUGGCCAUCAAUCACUUUUGCUGCUAUAGCUGCUGCAGCAGAUUUUUCCAAAAAUGUUGGAAAAGUGAAAUGUGUUGGACGGUAUAAUAAUUAUGUCUCAAAUGACUUUGGAUUGCUUCAAAAAGGUACUUUUUAUACAGUCAGAAAGUAAUCCACUGGGGGAAACCGUGGGACCAACAGCAGUGUACUGUUUCUAUGAAAUGUUCAAAUUGAGAUCAAUACAAACUUAACUAAGGCCUUGUCUGCUCUGAUCGGUUAGCUGGCCAGCUCUAUUAUGAUUGGUCAACUGCUGUCGUGCCCCUUAGCAUAUCACGUACAAUGUGUUGGAGCGCUAGCGCCAUAGAAGCACAAUUGUUACAUAGUUAUUUCAUUAUGUUAUCAAAGUAAAAUGUAUUGUCAAUCUUCUGUGUGCAAGAUAGACAGGGAGAUCGAAAUGUUGUUACUCACAAUCCCAAGGAAUAAAAGUUAAAAUAUCAAAAGAAUAUAUAUAUAUAGUAUUACUCUAAACAUGAGCCUAAUGUCUGCUUUAAGAGGCAGGGAUAUUUGAUAAGUGAAGGAUGAGGAGUUGGUGACUCCACUGUCAUGACAUUAUGAAGAAAGUAUAUGAAAAGAGAUGUAUUUGAAAAAAAUCCCUUGAUGAAUAAUGAUGAAAAAUAUCAUUUUUAAUUAAAAUGUUAAAAUUCAGUUUAAUUUUUUUUAAAUGAGCACUUGUAUCAAUGGAUUUCUACUGCCAUGUAUUUCAUCAUAUAUUUCUCCCACUGUAAAACAGAUACAAUAUGCAGUUUCUCUUCCAUCUUUUAUCUUUAUGGAAGAAUGUUUCAAUGUUUUUGUUCAAAGCAUCAAAAGCUUGUGAGGUGUGUGAUGGGCUUUUUACUGCCUUUGUCAGACAUCAGCCAGAGAAACAUUUUCAUCUAGGUGAUAGUUUGUAACAAGAUUUCAGAGAUAAGACCCUCUGAACUCACUGCCAGCCAGCCCCACUGUACUGUAUAUCGAUCUAUUUCCUCUCUUAUUAUUAUUAUUAUUAUGAUUGUGUGUGUGUGUGUGUGUGUGUGUGUGUUUGUGCUCAUGCGUGAGUGUGUGUAAUCACAUGAAUCACAACUCAAGAGAUGGCCAACAAAAGUAGGUUACCUCAAGCAUUAGUUAUGGUGGGUUCCUCUUAGACAUGCAGAUUGACAGAUUUAGCAUGCGUGUGUUAUGCGAGUGUGUGUCCACAUGCAUGCAUGGAAUUGAGUGUGUAUGUUCUCCUUCGGGCACAGCAGCAGAUUGCUGAGCAGACAAAUGUGUCCAUCAGCCAGUCUCCAGGCCUUCAACUCUGACUAAUCGACAACACUGAGAGACGUGUACAUGUGCGCGUAAUGGUUGGGGGGAUGAGGGGGUCAAAAAUCGAGUGUAGAAACAAAUUAGGGUUGUGGCUAGCGGAAAUGGGGUAGGUGAAGGAGUUCAGCAACACGGUAAGGGAGACAGACAUGGAUGGAGAAGAGAAUAUCCUGAAAGUCGCGAUAGCAUGGUGAACUGAGAACUCUGCGUAAUUAUGAAGACGACAUGAGGGUCUUACGAGGCAGCGAGUAAGCAAAGAAGGAAAUGACAAAGCAGAGAGAUAAUUAAUAAAGAAAACAGGAAGUGACAGGUGGUGAAAGCAAGACAGCAGGAAAUAAAGAAUGGAAGAACAGGCAGACCAAACACACCCCAAGGCCCCAGACUAUGACUAAUAAACAAGAGGAAGGGGGAGAAUAUGACCAGGGGGAGGACAACAUGAAGGAGAAUAGAAGAUAGGGAAAGCAACAUCUCUCUGUCCCUUCUACUGUAAAUGAAUCAUUAAAUGGAGAGGUAGAGGGUUUGACUUCUCAAAAGGUCAACUGAACAAAGAUUCUCAUCAAAAUGUCAUCUGUAUAUUGCUUAAAGCUGCACUAAGCAAUUUGUUAUAUUAGAAAUGGAUCCGAAUUAUUUGUUAUAAUGUAAGAUGUAAUGUUGGGUUGAGGUAUGUCACCAAACUGCAUGCUGUAUAAAGCCAUUUAGCCUCUUAGAUCAUUCUUUGGUUUUCUGACUUGCAACAAAACCUGGUUUAAAUGUUCUUGAAUAACAUAAAAAUACCUGGUUCAA